rnacentral:rRNA from 1 species
GACGAACGCUGGCGGCGUGCCUAAUACAUGCAAGUCGAACGCUGAAGGAGGAGCUUGCUUCUCUGGAUGAGUUGCGCACGGGUGAGUAACGCGUAGGUAACCUGCCUGGUAGCGGGGGAUAACUAUUGGAAACGCUAGCUAAUACCGCAUAAUAGUAGAUGUUGCAUGACAUUUACCUAAAAGGUGCAAUUGCAUCACUACCAGAUGGUCCUGCGGUGUAUUAGCUAGUUGGUGGAGUAACGGCUCAACAAGGCGACGAUACAUAGUCGGACUGAGAGGGGGGAUGGCCAAACUGGGACCGGGGCACGGCCCAGACUCCCUAGGGGAGGAGCAGGAGGGAAACUUCGGCAAAUGACGGAAAUCUGAACGGGGAACGCCGCGUGAGGGAAUAAGGGUUUCGGGUCGGAAAGAUCUGUUUUAAGGGAAGAACGAGUGUGGGAGUGGAAAGUUCACACUGUGACGGUAGCUAACCAGAAAGGGACGGCUAACUACGUG